rnacentral:lncRNA from 10 species
CGCAAACUGGGCAGAGGACAGCCACAGAAGUUUAUGUCUCACGGUUUGGGUCCAGACGUCCAGAAUUGAGGCGUCGGCCUCUCCAGAUAGCAAGAGAUGGUGCUGUCAAGACAGUGUAAGCCCAGGAGCCCAGGUGGCUGGGCUGUGUCUGCACAGCCUUUGGAUAAGGCCUCAGAAAGAUCAUAGCCUCAGCAUUCUGCCCCACCAAGGGUGCCUUAGAGAGGUCAGGGCUGAGCCUCAUGGAUCGAACCAGGGAGCCCCUGAGGAGCCGAAGGGCGUUGACUCCGAGUCACCUCGGCAGGACUCAAAGAUAGAAAAGGCUUGCCUCAAAAACAUCGGCAGGUGAGGCCUUCGGCUCAUGGAGUAGACCCAGGUGAAAUCCAUGAGAGACAAAGAUUUUGAGGAAAUCACUUUCACAGAAACACUGCCAGCCUGGGUGGGAAGGAACAGAGAGAGCACAGGAUGAAAGGAGGCUGCCAGACUCCCCAGAUUUUGCUGGCUGGAAGUAGGCUAAAAAGCUCCUCAGCUGCAAACAUGGGCAACCUUUCCUUCCAAACAAGUGCAGUGUAGAUGCGGGGACCAAGAGCCCAGACAGGGAAUCCAGAAGCCAGGAGAAUUCUCCCCAGCCCUGGAAACCUGACUGAGAACUCCCAACCUUUACUUUUCUGGAUUUGGAAUUGCUACACAGUCAAGAUGCCUUUUAUCUGCCAUUUCCUCCCCUUGAAAACUGAAAUGUCUACAGCUGCAUCUGGUGCCUGCUCCACCACGGGACAGGUCACUAAUCUCUUUAGCUUCCCGGGCCCAUCCAUGGAGAGGAAUUGUGUCCCAGAACCUGAACCGAAUGAUUGCACCAUGACCCUCCACUGACCUUUGACCUGAUUUAGAUGUUGACAUUUCAGGCUUUGAGCUGAUGCCAUGAAGCUCCGAAAAUCUUAGGUACCUAGAGCAGGUGAAUGACUUUUGCACAUGCGAGGGAGGCAGGGGGGCGUGUGGCAGACUCCCAGGUGCCUCCAGGUGUAACUGCCUUUUAUGUAGUCAUCUCCCCUGAGUCACAGAGAAGGACUGGUGACUGACUUCUAACCAACGGCUACAGCAAAGGUGAUGGGAUGUCACUCUGGGGAUGACUCACAUCACACAGGACUGUCUUUUGGGGAGACUCGCUGUCUCCCUCACUGGCUCUGAAGAAGCCAGCAGCUGCCACAGAUCCUACAACUGAAAGGAGCUGAGUGUUACCAAACACAUGCGAGCAGGGGCAUGCACGCUCCCCCAGUCAGACUCCGCAUGAGAACCCACCCUGGACAUAACCUGGCGACCGCCUUGUGAGACCCCAGCAGGAGAGCCGGCAAGUCUGUCGCUGGACUCCCGACUCACGGAUUCGUUGAGAUAAUAGUGGUUCUUGACUUUCACUUACCUCUCAGUGAACUGUGAGCCCUGCAGAAAUAUUGAAGUGUAAAGUCAUGGGUCCUGGGGAGAAGAGAGAAGUGGAGAAGAAUGGAACUUCUUUUAAGGUUGAGGGUCUGGUACUACACAUUCCGGGAAGUCAAUGCAAGCAGUUCUCACUCUGGAAAAUGCGAAAACCUCCCAAGGUUUCAACAUGUUGGUUUAGAACUAAACCAACCAAAAAUGUUGGUUUAGAACUAAAAAUAUUGGCUCAAAACCAAAAAAGUUUGUUUAGAAUUAAAAAUAAUGGCCACUAUAUUGAAUGCAUGUGUUUUUCAGAUUCCAGUUUAAUUAAAAUCAGUGAGACAGAGUGGUUUUAUCAUUGAACCUUAAUCAAAUUAUUCUGACUCAAUGUUCAGCGCACAACACUUGAAAUAUAUCAAUGAAGACACAUUUGAAUUAAUUUUCACUGGGAAAGACAAACUGAUAGAAACAUAAAGGCACAAAAAACUAAACACACACACACACACACACCCCA